AACGAACGCUGGCGGCAGGCUUAACACAUGCAAGUCGAGCGCCCCGCAAGGGGAGCGGCAGACGGGUGAGUAACGCGUGGGAAUCUACCCAUCUCUACGGAACAACUCAGGGAAACUUGAGCUAAUGCCGUAUACGCCCUUCGGGGGAAAGAUUUAUCGGAGGUGGAGGAGCCCGCUUUGGAUUAGCUAGUUGGUGAGGUAAUGGCUCACCAAGGCGACGAUCCAUAGCUGGUCUGAGAGGAGGAUCAGCCACACUGGGACUGAGACACGGCCCAGACUCCGACGGGAGGCAGCAGUGGGGAAUAUUGGACAAUGGGCGCAAGCCUGAUCCAGCCAUGCCGCGUGAGUGAUGACGGCCUUAGGGUUGUAAAGCUCUUUCAACGGUGAAGAUAAUGACGGUAACCGUAGAAGAAGCCCCGGCUAACUUCGUGCCAGCCGCCGCCGUAAUAC
rnacentral:rRNA from 1 species